rnacentral:rRNA from 1 species
UACGGGGGGGGCAAGCGUUGUUCGGAAUUACUGGGCGUAAAGGGCGCGUAGGCGGUCAGCACAAGUCAGUUGUGAAAUCUCCGGGCUUAACUCGGAAAGGUCAACUGAUACUGUGCGACUAGAGUGCAGAAGGGGCAACUGGAAUUCUCGGUGUAGCGGUGAAAUGCGUAGAUAUCGAGAGGAACACCUGCGGCGAAGGCGGGUUGCUGGGCUGACACUGACGCUGAUGCGCGAAAGCCAGGGAGGCGAACGGG